rnacentral:rRNA from 1 species
GUAGUCAUAUGCUUGUCUCAAAGAUUAAGCCAUGCAUGUCUAAGUAUAAGCAAUUAUACCGUGAAACUGCGAAUGGCUCAUUAAAUCAGUUAUCGUUUAUUUGAUAGUACCUUACUACUUGGAUAACCGUGGUAAUUCUAGAGCUAAUACAUGCUAAAAACCCCAACUUCGGGAGGGGUGUAUUUAUUAGAUAAAAAACCAACGCCCUUCGGGGCUUCUUGGUGAUUCAUGAUAACUUAACGGAUCGCAUGGCCUUGCGCCGGCGACGGUUCAUUCAAAUUUCUGCCCUAUCAACUUUCGAUGGUAAGGUAUUGGCUUACCAUGGUCGCAACGGGUACGGGGAAUA